AACGUAGGAGACAACCGUUAUCCGGAGUUACUGGGCGUAAAGGGCGUGCAGGUGGUCUGUUAAGUCUGGCGUGAAAGCCCCCGGCUCAACUGGGGAGGGUCACGCGAUACUGAUCGACUCGAAGGCAGGAGAGGGUAGUGGAAUUCCCGGUGUAGUGGUGAAAUGCGUAGAUAUCGGGAGGAACACCAGUGGCGAAGGCGACUACCUGGCCUGUUCUUGACGCUGAGGCGCGAAAGCUAGGGGAGCAAACGGG
rnacentral:rRNA from 1 species